rnacentral:rRNA from 1 species
GGGGGGGGAAAGACACAGGGAUUGCCUCAGUAACGGCGAGUGAAGCGGCAACAGCUCAAAUUUGAAAUCUGGCCUUGGCCCGAGUUGUAAUUUGUAGAGGAUGUUUCUGGCGCGGCGCCUUCCGAGUUCCCUGGAACGGGACGCCAAAGAGGGUGAGAGCCCCGUACGGUCGCGCGCUAAGCCUCUGUGAAACUCCUUCGACGAGUCGAGUAGUUUGGGAAUGCUGCUCUAAAUGGGAGGUGUACGUCUUCUAAAGCUAAAUACCGGCCAGAGACCGAUAGCGCACAAGUAGAGUGAUCGAAAGAUGAAAAGCACUUUGAAAAGAGGGUUAAACAGUACGUGAAAUUGUUGAAAGGGAAGCGGUUACGACCAGACUUGGGCUUGGUUAAUCAUCCAGCGUUCUCGCUGGUGCACUUGGCCGGCCCAGGCCAGCAUCAGUUUGCUCCGGGGGAUAAAGGCUUCGGGAAUGUGGCUCCUUCGGGAGUGUUAUAGCCCGUUGCGCAAUACCCUGUGGUGGACUGAGGUACGCGUUCGCAAGGAUGCUGGCGUAAUGGUCGUCACCGACCCGUCUUGAAACACGGACCAAGGAGUCGUCUUCGUAUGCGAGUGUUCGGGUGUCAAACCCCUACGCGUAAUGAAAGUGAACGUAGGUGAGAGCUUCGGCGCAUCACCGACCGAUCCUGAUGUUCUCGGAUGGAUUUGAGUAAGAGCAUACGGGGCCGGACCCGAAAGAAGGUGAACUAUACCUGUAUAGGGUGAAGCCAGAGGAAACUCUGGUGGAGGCUCGCAGCGGUUCUGACGUGCAAAUCGAUCGUCAAAUAUGGGUUUAGGGGCGAAAGACUAAUCGAACCUUCUAGUAGCUGGUUUCAGCCGAAUUUUCCCCUUCAGGAAAAAGGAAACC